rnacentral:rRNA from 1 species
AUUGAACGCUGGCGGCAGGCCUAACACAUGCAAGUCGAGCGGAGCGGCGGACGGGUGAGUAAUGACUAGGAAUCUACCUGGUAGUGGGGGAUAACGUACGGAAACGGGCGCUAAUACAGCAUACUAUCAAAUGAGCCUAGGGCGGAGUAGCUAGUUGGGGGGGUAAAGGACUACCAAGGCGACGAUGCGUAACUGGUCUGAGAGGAUGAUCAGUAACACUGGAACUGAGACACGGCCCAGACUCCUACGGGCGGCAGCAGUGGGGAAUAUUGGACAAUGGGCGAAAGCCUGAUCGAGCCAUGCCGCGUGUGUGAAGAAGGUCUUCGGAUUGUAAAGCACUGUAAGUUGGGAGGCGUUACCAACAGAAUAAGCACCGGCUAACUUCGUGCCAGCAGCCGCGGUAAUUC